rnacentral:lncRNA from 1 species
AUGAAGGAGGAUUUGAGGAGAUCUGGAUAUAAUCCAUCUCCGUUUUUCUUCAUUAUCAAAAGUGGUUUUAUGAAAGGGAAAACAGAACAGACCGCUCUGAAUACCUGCACUGGAUUUCCUCCUGGAUGUCUCCAGAUGCAUCCUCCUUCUGCAUGGGGAAGCUGUGCCUUGUGGGGAGCACACCACUCUUCUCCAGUGUGCCGCAGUCAGAAAGCUGGGAUGAAUGUGAUGGUGGCAUCAGGAUGCUCUUCUCCUCUGUGGGAUCAAGGAAUAGGUAUUUUGCCCAGGGCUCAGCAGAUAACCUGCAUUAUCAGGAGGGAUAACCAUUGUGCAGAGAGAGGAGAGAUCUAAUUCUAAUGAAGACUAUUGAUAGUGACUGUAUUGCCCAGAGAGCUUAAAUAAAUCUCGUUUGCUCACUCA